AUAUUUUUUAAUUGAUAUAAAGUGUGCUUUUUGUAUAAGAAAAUUUUAUUUUUUAGGUUGAUGAAGCAACGGGAAGAUUUACUGGUAGUUCGAAAGCUUAUGCCAUCUGUGGUGAAAUAAGACGAAUGGGAGAAAGUGAUGAUUGCAUAACAAGGUUAGCAAAAAAAGAUGGUAUUAUAGCUAAGAACUAUUGAAGGCCUGUGAACGUGCUUUUUUUAAUGUAAUAAAAAAUCACACUCAUUA